AGGAUUAACGCUGGCGGCGUGCCUAACACAUGCAAGUCGAACGAGGUAGCAAUACCUAGUGGCAGACGGGUGAGUAACGCGUGGUCAACCUACCGUUGAGUGGGGGAUAACUAGCCGAAAGGUUAGCUAAUACCGCAUACGUCUCCGAGGGGCAUCCCUUGGCGAUAAAAGGAGCAAUCCGCUCGAUGACGGGACCGCGUCCCAUUAGCUAGAUGGUGGGGUAACGGCCUACCAUGGCACCGAUGGGUAGCUGGUUUGAGAGAGCGACCAGCCACACUGGGACUGAGAAACGGCCCAGACUCCUACGGGAGGCAGCAGUGAGGAAUUUUCCGCAAUGGGCGCAAGCCUGACGGAGCGACGCCGCGUGUGGGAAGAAGGCCUUCGGGUCGUAAACCACUGUCGAAGGGGACGAUAAUGACGGUACCCUUGGAGGAAGCCCGGCUAACUACGCGCCAGCAGCCGC
rnacentral:rRNA from 1 species